AUCCAGUGAUGCUGUUGGUAAACUUAUAUUGAUGCUGUUGCAGACAAUACCUUCAGAAAAGGAUUUGGUGAUAUUUUUUAUGAAAAAUAUGUACAAAGUGUUUGAUGUGAUAUUGUAUGUCGAAAUUAUCCUGAGUUAGCGCCCUGACCCCAUGCCUCGGCUUUCGACAUGCAAUCCCCUUCACCACGACUACGUCAUUACAG
rnacentral:misc_RNA from 1 species